GGGAAUGUGGCUCAGUGGUAGAGCGCUGCGCUCAUAACGCAGAGGUCCCGGGUUCGAACCCCGGCAUUCCCA
rnacentral:tRNA from 1 species